AUUAUGGCUCAGGAUGAACGCUGGCGGCGUGCUUAACACAUGCAAGUCGAGCGAAGCACUCUGGAAGAUCCUCGGGAUGAUCCUAGUGACUUAGCGGCGGACGGGUGAGUAACGCGUGGGCAACCUGCCUUGUACAGGGGGAUAACGGUUAGAAAUGACUGCUAAUACCGCAUAAGCGCACAGCAUGGCAUCAUGCAGUGUGAAAAAACUCCGGUGGUACAAGAUGGGCCCGCGUUGGAUUAGCUAGUUGGUGGGGUAACGGCCCACCAAGGCGACGAUCCAUAGCCGGACUGAGAGGUCGAACGGCCACAUUGGGACUGAGACACGGCCCAGACUCCUACGGGAGGCAGCAGUGGGGAAUAUUGCACAAUGGAGGAAACUCUGAUGCAAGCGACGCCGCGUGAGUGAUGAAGUAUUUCGGUAUGUAAAGCUCUAUCAGCAGGGAAGAAAUUGACGGUACCUGACUAAGAAGCCCCGGCUAACUACGUGCCAGCCGCGGC
rnacentral:rRNA from 1 species